UUCCGGUUGAUCCCGCCGGACCCCACUGCUAUCGAGGCGAGACUAAGCCAUGCUAGUCGAACGACCCGGACUAUGGCGGGAAGUGGCAGACUGCUCAGUAACACGUAGCUAACCUACCCUUGGGACGGGUACAACCCCGGGAAACUGAGGUUAAUACCCGAUAGGUGUGGAUUCCUGGAAUGGUACCACGCCCAAAUGUAAACGCAUCCAUGUUUGCGUGCACGCCCGAGGAUGGGGCUGCGGCCGAUCAGGCAGUUGGUGAGGUAACGGCUCACCAAACCUUUGACCGGUACGGGCCAUGAGAGUGGUAGCCCGGAGAUGGGCACUGAGACAAGGGCCCAGGCCCUACGGGGCGCAGUAGGCGCGAAACCUCCACAAUUCACGAAAGUGAGAUGGGGUUACCUCGAGUGCCGCCUGAGGAAGGCGGCUUUUCCAUUGUGUAAUGAGCCGUGGGAAUAAGGGGGGGGCAAGACUGGUGUCAGCCGCCGCGGUAACACCAGCCCCCCGAGUGGUGGGGAUGAUUAUUUGGCCUAAAGCGUCCGUAGCCUGCUCUGUAAAUCUCUCGUUAAAUCCAGCGUCCUAAGCGUUGGGCUGCGAGAGAGACUGCAGAGCUAGAGGGUGGGAGAGGUCAGCGGUAUUCCUGGGGUAGGGGCGAAAUCCAUUGAUCCCAGGAGGACCACCAGUGGCGAAGGCUGCUGACUAGAACACGCCUGACGGUGAGAGACGAAAGCUGGGGUAGCGAAUCGGAUUAGAUACCCGAGUAGUCCCAGCCGUAAACGAUGCAGCUAGGUGUUGGGUUGGCCACGUGCCAGCUCAGUGCCACAGGGAAGCCAUUAAGCCUGCCGCCUGGGGAGUACGGCCGCAAGGCUGAACUUAAAGGAAUUGGCGGGGGAGCACCACCAGGCGUGAAGCCUGCGGUUUAAUUGGAGUCACGCCGGAAA
rnacentral:rRNA from 1 species